rnacentral:rRNA from 1 species
AUGUAGUGCAAUCUGAUGCUUGACUAGUGCCGAACGGGUGAGUAAUACAUCUGAACGUGUCUAGGAUAGGGGGAUGACUCCUCGAAAGAGUAACUAAUACCGCACGAAAUCUAUACAUGAAAGCACGGGACCUUCGGGCCUUGUGCUACUUCAGCGGCUGAUGGCUCAUUAUGUAUUUGGUGGGGUAAAAGCUUACCAAACCUGCAAUAUCCAUCUGUGGUCUGAGAAGAACCACACACACCCUGGCUCUGAAACUGGGCCCAAACCCCCACGGGGGGCCCCAGUGGAAAA